rnacentral:rRNA from 1 species
UGCAGCCUGCCGCGUGUGUGAAGAAGGCCUUCGGGUUGUAAAGCACUUUCAGUAGGGAGGAAGGCAGUGUCGUUAAUAGCGGCAUUGUUUGACGUUACCUACAGAAGAAGCACCGGCUAACUCCGUGCCAGCAGCCGCGGUAAUACGGAGGGUGCCGAGCGUUAAUCGGAAUUACUGGGCGUAAAGCGCAUGCAGGCGGCUUGUUAAGCCAAGAUGUGAAAGCCCGGGGCUCAACCUCGGAAUAGCAUUUGGAACUGGCAGGCUAGAGUCUUGUAGAGGGGGGUAGAAUUUAGGUGUAGCGGUGAAAUGCGUAGAGAUCUGAAGGAAUACCGGUGGCGAAGGCGGCCCCCUGGACAAAGACUGACGCUCAGAUGCGCAAAGCGUGGGGAGCAAACAGGAUUAGAUACCCUGGUAGUCCACGCCGUAAACGAUGUCUACUUGGAGGCUGUUCUUGAGGAGUGGCUUUCGGAGCUAACGCGUUAAGUAGACCGCCUGGGGAGUACGGUCGCAAGAUUAAAAUAAG